rnacentral:rRNA from 1 species
ACACAUGCAAGUCGAGGGGCAGCAUGAACUUAGCUUGCUAAGUUUGAUGGCGACCGGCGCACGGGUGAGUAACACGUAUCCAACCUUCCGUUUACUCAGGGAUAGCCUUUCGAAAGAAAGAUUAAUACCUGAUAGUAUGGUGAGAUUGCAUGAUAACACCAUUAAAGAUUUAUUGGUAAACGAUGGGGAUGCGUUCCAUUAGGUAGUAGGCGGGGUAACGGCCCACCUAGCCUGCGAUGGAUAGGGGUUCUGAGAGGAAGGUCCCCCACAUUGGAACUGAGACACGGUCCAAACUCCUACUGGAGGCAGCAGUGAGGAAUAUUGGUCAAUGGGCGAGAGCCUGAACCAGCCAAGUAGCGUGAAGGAUGAAGGUCCUACGGAUUGUAAACUUCUUUUAUACGGGAAUAAAGUUUCCUACGUGUAGGAUUUUGUAUGUACCGUAUGAAUAAGCAUCGGCUAACUCCGUGCCAGCAGCCGCGGUAAUACGGAGGAUGCGAGCGUUAUCCGGAUUUAUUGGGUUUAAAGGGAGCGCAGACGGGAGAUUAAGUCAGUUGUGAAAGUUUGCGGCUCAACCGUAAAAUUGCAGUUGAUACUGGUUUCCUUGAGUGCAGUUGAGGCAGGCGGAAUUCGUGGUGUAGCGGUGAAAUGCUUAGAUAUCACGAAGAACCCCGAUUGCGAAGGCAGCUUGCUAAACUGUAACUGACGUU